rnacentral:lncRNA from 1 species
ACUAAUCACUGCCUUCGGCUUUUUUCGUUACGCGCUCUUCAAGCGGUUUGACCCGGAUUGACCUUUUGUUGCUACUGAAGCAAAUAUGGCUGAACAUUGAUGAAUGAGGAUAAUUGUUAUCAACUUUACCAGUAUAUAUGAAUAAAAACACUAACCGUAAGUAAAAUGCACUCAAUCCAAAUAAUUUUACAAAAUGAAAAAUUUGCAAAUUUCUGUAUCGUUAGGUCGAAGAAUUCAAUUCUGGCAUGAAAACUCGAUCGACUUUGUUGCAUAUUAGUUUAUUACCAUAUAAAAAAAAUCUUCGUCAAUGAAGAAACAUAAAAUAUGAUCUUCUCGUCUGUGAAGUUGAAAGAACACUGAACGCUAUAAAGCUUUUGAUAUUAAAUUGGACAUACUUUUAAUGAACUGGCACCCAAUCAUCAGCUAAUAAACUCGUUUGAAGAACAGAAUAAAAUGUUGGGAGAGUGGCUAAAUUUUACCCGAGAAGCUGCUCCAUGUGGAAUUAAAGAUAUUUUACAAAAGAAAAAUUUGGACUCUAUAGGGAUAAAUUUUGGAUUUCCUGGGAAGGCGUGCAAAUAAUGCCAAAUUGACACAUGGCUUCAAAUACAUUAUUUAAACGAACUUCAGUAAGGGCUUUAUAUUAUAUUAUAUUAAGACUCUGUUUACUUACCAAUCUCUGAAUUUCUCAAAACUCAAUUUAGAUUUCAUGGAUAAAAAAAAAUAAAACAAUCAUAAAUUAUUAUAAUUGAAAAAUAAUAUAGGGUAACACACACAUUACUAAAUUUGUUGUGCAAUUUGCUUUUUAUUAUAUAUGUCACCAUGGUCAUGUAUGUAUUAAUUUACAAUAUUCUGGAUGGGAGCAUUUCCAUUUCGGUAUUACUAUAUUUUAUUGAAUUAUUAUCCAGUCAAUUUAUAGUCUAUGCAAUGUAAUAAUUAGCAUAAUAAUAAUCCCCCCCCCCCCGGUUCCCCCCCCCCCCCCGAAAAAAGUAAAAUCUUUAUAAUUUUGGUCCAAUUAUUCUGUAUUCUAUUUACCCUUUAAGAACCACAUUUAGGCCAAAUAAAUAAAUAUGUGUGUUUCCUAUUUCCCUCUUUAUUAAACCCUAUAUGUUUUAAGCUUGGAAAUAGCUGCCUACCUUAAAGUUUUUUUUUGUAAUUUUUCAAUAAGCACUGUUUAAGUCAGAAUAUCUCUCCCUUAGACUCAAUGUAAAAAAAAAAUGUUGAAUUAAAUAAAUUCCCUACCUACCUACCAUUUAUUUUCAAAGAUGUAAUAGGAAACACACACAGUAUUUUAUUUGGCCUUAGCCCUUAUAUAUACAAUGUACAUGUACUCUUAAUAAACCUUUUAUUCCUGCAAUAAAAAACACUUUUGACUAUAAUUCUAAGACGCCAGUAAUCAAUUCUAAUGUUUUUAUUUUUAUCUUACAGAUGGUGACAAAAAGAUAACAGCACAGUGUUAAGAUUGAAUCAGAAUGAAUAAAACAACAAGAUUAUAAUAGGUACAUGUAUUGGUUUAUUUUUUAAAUAUUUUUAUUUGCAUGGAUUAAUUACUUUAUCAAUUUAUAAAAUAAAUACUAUUUAAUUAUCCUGCUUUGCAUGGAAUAAAAUGACUACUUACAUUGUUCUAAAAAAAAAAUGUUUGAAAAAAUAAUGAGUAAAAUUAAUGCUCAAAAACAAUGUUUAAAAUGUUAACAUGAAAACUGAUUUUGAUUUGAAGCCAUAUUUUAUGAAAUUGAUUAAUGUAGACAAAUCUUUUUUAUAGUUACAAAUGUAGGUGACACUUAAACACUCAAUAUCUUUCUUUAAUUAGUAUAGUAGGAUGAUACAGAUUGAUGCCUGUGAAAGAAUUAUAAAAAAGGUUGCAUUCAGUUUUUUAUUGUCAAUAAUACUUCCCUCCCCCUAUUUUUCAAACUUUUUAUAUGUUAAAUAAUGCAGGUCCUUGCAUUUCAACAAUUUAUUUUUAGUUAUACUCAUUUUAUUAUUUCUUAUUUCUUUCAGCUCCCUCAACCAGAAGAACUUUGAACACAGUUAUUGAUUUCUAUGUUUCCUUGGAGAUUUUAACAGUUAUUGUUAAAACUUGAAAUCUAACAGAAUGAAAAUUUGAGAAAAUUAACAUAUACAGUGUACAUGUACAUGUAGCUUCAAUAUAAAUCAACUGAUACACCGUAAGUAUGUCUUCUAUAUAUGAAAGUUAUAAAUUGGUUUGUUUACAAAAUUUAGUUUUUACUAGAUAUAUUUGAGUAAAUACAGGACCAAAUUAUAUAUUUAAAGCAAAUACUCACAAACGUUUUUUUUUUUUAAAUACUAAUAUUUCCUAUGGUGAUAUAAAUUAUAUGAUCAAAUUGUGGAUACAACUACAUGGUUUAUGCUAUAAACUGUGAAUAUAAAAAAAGAGUAUGUUGUAUGAUUGAUGUGAUGAGCAAACAAUGAGAAAGAGAAAAUGACAAACACAGACACGUAAAGAUGCAAAUACUAACAGUAAAGAUAGCCUAUAGUAGUACUGUAAUAGUAACCGUUCAUAGUAUAGAAACAGUCUUAAUAACUGUCAAUGAGUAAAGCCCAUACAGAGUUAACACUAGCCUAUAGAGGUCAUAGCACAGUCUUAUGAGUAAAGCCCAUACCACUCAGAGAGCUAUAAAAUACACUGAAAUGACAAAUGUGAAACAAUUAAAACUAGAAAUUUGGCUUAAUUUAUCAUACAUGUAUGUACAAAAUAAUGAACGAAAAACAAAUAUGUGACACAUCAAACAACAACCACUGAACUAAAGGCUCCUGAAUUGGGACAGACACAGCCAUACAUAAUGUAUCGGGUUAAACAUGUUAGCUGGGGCCCAACCCUCCCCUUACCUGGGACAGUGGUGUAAGAGUACAAAAUAAAAACAAACUAUAAAAUUCAGUUGAAAAAGUCUUAAAUCUUAACUCAUCAUGAGAUGGAUACAAGUAGAAAUAAAUAAAACCAAGAAAAAGGGGGCAUGGUCAGGUACUAUUACAUCCAAACAACUGAAAGAGACUUAAUACAGAUCUAGAUUAUUUACUCUAAGCAAACUCAAGCUUAAUAGGAGAUGUGAAAACACCCUAAAUCUGAUAGGUCCUGCAACUUUUGAAAGAGACUCCAAAAAAUUAAAAGGGAACUCAAUCUAAAUUUUGUGUUAAAAUUUCAUGAGAAAUUGUUCAAAGCAAAGGAUAAGGGGCAUUAAAGGAUUAUUUUUUGUCCAAGAAUAUAAACUAUUCCAAAAAGCCCCAUUAUGUUUGGAAAUGCAUAAAUUUAAGAAACAUGAAUUAAAAACAUAAUAUUUUUUGUCUGAUAAUGUCACAAUUACAUCAUGAAAACGAGGACAAAUAUAGAAUUUAUGCAGUUUCCAAAACAACAAAAUAAUUUAAGAAAACCUUUAUUAUAACUAUUAACAUAAUCUCACUAAAUAUAAUUUUUUUCUUGGAUGGGCACAUAUAGUCUAAAAUAUAAUUUUAUUUGACAAAAAACAAGGAAAAUUAAGAAAUUUUACAAAUUUGGUCAAAGUUUAUUGCCAUGGUAACUCUUUAGUUGUAAAAAAAAACCCAUUAUUUUCUGAAUAUGGUGUACCUUAGUCUAGUUUGGACAAAUUUUGAAAUAUUUAGGAUAACUGUUAAAUUAGCAGUAAUAUACCUUUUUUAGUUAGCCCCUACUACUUUGAUAUUAAAGGAUGGAUGGACAAACAAAUGGCAUACCCUAUACAUCCCUUACCUACCAGAAGUUACAAAGUUAUAAAAAAUACGUUUAUAUAUUUUCAGAUCACAAUUAUGUCAACCUAAUCAUUGGAAGUUUAUCAAGUUACAUGAGAAGCAUUGAAAGCCUGCAGAGAUUCUACAUGUAUACAUAAAUGGAAUAGACUCACACUUAAAAAUAACUUUUAGACAAGACUAAUGCACUCUCAAUUUCAAUGAGUGAAUUGAAGUGCAUACUAGCUGCGCAUGAAAAUUUGUGUGCAAUUUUUAAAUAUUUAUUUUCGUUUUAUUGAUUGUUGUUUUCAAAAAAU